AUUUAAGUUUGUUAUUGUUAGUUAAUUUUUUUAUAAGUUAAGUUUUUUAAGUUUAUUGAAUAUGUUUUUUUUUUAAUGUAUAGUUUAUUUUGGAGAUUUUGUUUUAUGUAUUUGAUAAGGAGUGUUAAAAUUUUUAAGAUAAAUUAUAUAUUGGGAAGAAAAUAUAUUUAAUAAAUUUAAAAGGUUUGAUUUAUAAGGAAGUUAGUUGAUAAUAAUGGAUUUAAAU
rnacentral:misc_RNA from 1 species